rnacentral:lncRNA from 1 species
GGGGGGGUUGCAGGGCCACCUCGGUGAGAAGUGCAGGGCACUUCGGUGUGGAGGGUGCAUACAAUUAGGUGGGAAGUGGAGUAGCCCGUUGAUGAGGCUAAGGUAUUCUCGGAUGCAUCUGCAGUCUUUGGGGGAGCUGGAUCAGAAGAUGUUAGGAAGGACAACUUGAAAACGUCAGAUUACCCUCAGUGGGCGGAGGGGGAGAUUGUGGUCCAGCCCAUCCGAUGCGUCAAGCCAAUUGAUGAGUCCAAGCUCAGUAGCCAAGCCCAAACCCGAUUGGAGUUCAUAUGGAGUGUCCAUGGACGGUGAAACUCUCGAGUUACUAGAACUCUGGAGAGUCUUUAUCUUUUGUUUUCCUAGAUAGAUUAAGAUAAUGAUUAGGUAUUUGGUAGGAUCAACACUCCUUCCCUUGGUCUAUCAAAGGAUGUGAGGGGGCUUAAUUUCUACGUGCGUUGCGGUGUGGGCUGAGAGCAGAUUGCGUGAGGUGAGAUUGAGAGGCAAGAAAGAGAGCGAUUGUGAGAGAGGGUGUGAGUUGAGCGAUCGAGUCUCCUCGUUGUAACCAGUGUGUGAUACGUGGAUUGUUGAUUUCUCUCGUGGACGUAGGCAUCUUGGCCGAACCACGUAAAUCUUUAUUGUCUUGUGUGUGUGUGUCGUAAUUAAUUUUGAGCACAACAUCUACAAUUUAUCAUAAUGAAAGGCAAUUCUUCUGGCUUCCAGGUAACCGUGCUUGCAAUUCCUGCUUGAUAGAGGACUGGACAAACAAGGUUUCACAAUUAACUGAUUAAAAAAUGAUGGAUCCAAUACAGGCCUACAUCUUCAUGAAGGCCUCAAAGGCCUAUUUCAGAGGAAUGUCGUUGCAGAGCAGAUGACACUGUGAUUUAGCAGGUUUAUCAAUAUCGGGCAAUACGUUAUGUAUACAGCUGUUACAUACGGGGAUUUUAGCCAUCCGAUACGGUUAUUUGGGAAUAGAGUCCGAUAAACAAGUUUGUAUGACAUAUCACUGUAUGGAUACCGUUACAAAUACGGUGAAUACCGCAUUUAAAACUCUGAAUUGUUAGGCCAAAGGUCUGAUUAUCUCUCUUUGGCGAUUUUUCCGAAUCGGUUGUUCUUUAAUAUGUCUUCCUUUGAUCCCCACAUCAGCAUAACGCCUUUUCCUCAAAAUUUAUUAUUAUAAUCACCAUAUUCAAACCCAAUUCAUCCAAAUAGUUCAAAGUAGCGCUUAAACCCUCAUUUUAAAAGCCCAUAUCACAUAAUCACCUUCAGAAAUCAAAAAAUAUGCAUAGAUAAAUGAUAUUAGGACAUAGAGAUAUGCGCGCGCGCAAACACAGAGAGAGAGAAAUGGUAAGGAGGUAUUCCAAGCCCACAUUAUCAACAAGAAACAUACAACCCCCACAAAACAAAAUAUAGCAACAACAUAACAGCAAGAAAGCAGAGAGGGGAAGAAAAUUCUACAACAGAAACAAACCAAUUUCUGAAAAAAUAACAGAUCGAAGAACAUUGUGCUGACACACUCAGACAACAACAACAGAAAAACGAACCCAAAAGGGGGGGAAAUCUCGUACACUAUCAGCAGCUCCGAUCUGACGAGAUUUUGCUUUCCUUUUUGAAAUUGAGCGACACCAGAACGCUCACCACCUCUCUCUCUCUCUCUCCUCUCUCUCUCCUGUGAAACAAGCGAAGUUCGCGAUAGAAUUUUUCAAUUCUAGUUUUUACUUUUUAUGAGGCGAGUUUCGAAACCGUAUAUGUCGCGUUUAUGGGUCGUAUGUUAUAGGAAGUUCUGUUUUCACACGCCGUAACUAAACGGCCCAAUUGUCUUUUAUUUAUUUCUUUUUAAGUUUUGGGUGAAAUUAAAUCGGAAAUACUGAAAAAAAAUUGGUUAUAUUGAUUAAAUUCCACUAAAAUAAAAAAAGGCCAUGCAAAUUAAUUUAUUUCAUGUUUAGUAAAAUUAUUUCAAAUUAAUUUUGUAUUCUCUACGUUUCAAUUGCUCUAGUCAUGACGUACUGAAAACAUAAAAUAAUUUUAAUUAAAAAAGAUUAAAAACAAGUUCAAGAAAAAAAGAAAAAACAUUUCUUAGAUUUUUUGGGAUAAAUUUUUUUUGCAUUAGUUAGUGAUUUUUUUUUUUUUUAAAUUAGAUAAAAAACAAAUUCUAUUUUCGGAUUCUUCGAGGUUGAGAAGAACCAAAAAAAGUAAAAUUUUAUCACCUGGGAAAAUUCACUCUCUUGAACAAAAAAAAAUUGAAAACCAAAUUAGAAAAAAAAAUCAAUAAAACAAAAUUACCCCCAAACGGGCCCUGAGGUAGAGAACCAAAAAGUAGUAGCUAAAGAUGAGAAAAACCAUUUCUUAGAAUUUUGGAUAAAUGAUAAUUUUUUUGUCAUAGUGAAAAAAAAUUAAAUUAGAUAAAAAAAAUUAGAUUUUCACUUCUCUAGUAAAGACGAAACAGAAAGAAAAGUAUAAAAUUUUGAUCACAUGGUAAAAAAAAACAAACUUAAAGAAGCAAAAAUAUUCAAAAAAAUUUUAACCCAACGAAAACCUUAGUUAGAGGAAACCAAAAAAUUAGUAAACUAAAGACAACAUUAAAUUCAAUAACUUCUAGAUUUAGAUUAUUGGCUCGAUAAUUUUUUUUAUUACUUCAUUUUAAAAAUAUAAUUUAUUUUAUAUUUUUAUUUCUCUGCUCAAGAUUGAAAAAAAAGUAAAAAAAAAUUAAAGACAAUUUAUCAAGAUGAUAUAAAAAAGUAAAAUAAAAAUUAAUACAGUUUAUUUUCUUUUUUUUCUCGAUAUUUCGUAAUCAAGAUUGAAAUAAAAAAAAAUUAACAAAAAAAAUGAUCAAAAGUUGACAAAAACUAAUCGAAUAUUAAAAAAAGCAAAAACUAUAAAAAAAAUUAAAUAAAUACAAAAAGUCAAAAUAGGAGGCUAAGUGGUCACCAAGUAUAUAAAGUUUGCAUUCGAUUUAGUAAUAGGCCACGCCGUGUGCGUUUGUUGUCGGAUGGAUCAUUGUUCGGAAGCUUUAUUUAAACCCACCCCAAUUUGUAUCAGUGCACCUUUGUUUCUAAGUACCCCCCACCUUUAAUACUAAGGCAAAACAGUUAAUGGGGGGCAAAAAUGUAUUUGUUUAAAUAUAAAAUAGUGUAUAAAUAUCUAGGAGAUGAUAAAGAACGAGCAAUGGAAUUGUUAAAGCUUAGUUCAAGCUUGGUUCAUCUAUCAAGCAAAAUUAAUCUUUAAACGAGUUUUAAUUGAGUUUAUCAUGCAGCGACCUCAAAUAGCUGGAACUUGUAACAUUAUAGGUUAUUGAGUCGAGAAAUAGGUUGUUAAAGGUUUGAAAAAAUUAAACGGAGCUUAAAGGAAUAGCGUCAAGCGUAGCUUGUUGAUAUAACAAAUCAAUCUUAAACAAGUUUUGUUAACGAGUGUUGUUAAACAAGAACUUAGUUUAAGUUGCUUGAUUGUUUACUGUUCCUAUGAUUAACCACAAAGUGUGCGAUUAUUACUGCCAAAUAGACAGGGUUAUAUAAUUAUUUUAAAAAUAUUACUGAAAAUGGUUGAAAUGGUGUGCGGGAGUUCAUACUUCAUGACAAAAAAAAUCAUGGGUCCCCAAAAAAUCAAUGACAAUUUUAGUUAAUUAAUCUGCAUUUUUUAUUUGUUUUUUAGUGAAUUAUUUUUAGCUUGAGUCAGGUUUUUUCUUUUUUUUUUGUUAUCUUUUGUAGAAACAUAGGAUAAAAAUAAAAAAACUAAAAGAAUACAAAAAAACACUUAAAAUCCAAAUUAACACGAUAUAGAGUUAUGUGGAAAUAAAGUCAUUUCAUUUUAAAGAAAUCAAAACAAUCACAUUUGGAUUAAUUUAAGUUUCGUAUUUAAGAAUAUAUUAUUUUUAUACUUUUUCCAUUUUUAAAAAGUCACUAAAAAAAAAAGGCUUGGGACUUAUUUCGGACCGAUGGACUGGAUUGGGUUAAAGGUACGGAUAAGACUAGAGGCUCUUUUCAAAUGGACUAGAAAUUAAGGGGAAAUGAAUGUUAAAUAGGUCAUCGCGUGGAAUUUGUCCCAUCGGGGCAGUUGGGAAAAUGCUACCCCUAUUUCUUGGAUUUUGUCAAAACACAACCAAAAAAACAAUAAUGCCUUUUUAGUCACAAAAGUCCAUAAGUUGACUUACUCGUAGUGGUUUGUUUUUGAAAACUAUUGAUUCUAUAAAGAAGAACUGAAAUAUUAACAUGGUCAGGAAUUAAUUUUAAUAAUUUUAAAAGUUCUUCUUUUACUCGUAAUCAAAAGCAUAUAAAUCAUGUCAAAUAAGAUAAGUAUAAUUUUUUAGAUGCCAAAAUUUAAAAAAAUGCUAUCGAGAACUUUCGACAAAUACCCUGGUUGUACUUUUGAAUUUGAAAUUGUGAGGGUAAAGAAGAGCGGGUGAGUGUUGUGAGGCCAUGGACAAAUCAUGCUGUCUGUUGCCGCCUUCCUGAGGCCAUCCCAUGACAUUUAUCAUGAUAUUAAUAGGUCAUCUGGUAGGUUGUAGGUCAUUGAGGAUAUUACAAUGGGGGGUGGGGAUUAUAAAAAAAAUAUAUAUUAAAGAGAAACAAAAUUAUUACAAAUACCCUGGUGUUACUUUUGAAUUUUGAAUUGUGAGGGUAAAGAUAGAGGGUGGAGUGUCUGUGCGGCCAAUGGACACCAAUCAUGUUGGCCGCCUUCCUGAGCCCAUCCGUGACCAUUAUAUGAUCUUACUAGGUCAUUCUGUAGGUUUCAUUGAGGAUAUUAUAAGGGCGGUGGGGAUAAGAAAAAAAAAAAAAAUAUAUAUAUAUAUAUACAGAAAUAAAAAAUAUAUAUUCUUAAUAUCUAAAUAUUUUGAUAUUUGUAUUCUUCUAUAUAUUUCUUUCGUUAUCCCCACCCUUCAUACAUCUAUUGUAAAAAGUAUCCAAAUAUAAGUUAAAAAGUAUUCUCCCCUCUAAAUUUAUCCCCCUCUCUAUCGGGCCAGUAAAACGGCCCUAAAGGUAUAUUUUUAACUUGUACAUUAUUUAUGUUUU